UACGUAGGGGGCAAGCGUUGUCCGGAUUCAUUGGGCGUAAAGAGCGCGUAGGCGGCCAGGUAGGUCGGUUGUGAAAACUGGAGGCUCAACCUUCAGAGGUCGACCGAAACCAUCUGGCUAGAGUCCGGGAGAGGAGAGUGGAAUUCCUGGUGUAGCGGUGAAAUGCGCAGAUAUCAGGAAGAACACCCGUGGCGAAAGCGGAUCUCUGGGCCAUUACUGACGCUGAGGAGCGAAAGCGUGGGGAGCGAACAGG
rnacentral:rRNA from 1 species